UUUCAUCGAUCAAGAGGGUGAGCAGCGAGUAUAGCUGCAGGAGAUUGAGCAAUAACAGGUCUGUGAUGCCCUUAGAUGUCCUGGGCCGCACGCGCGCUACACUGAAUGGGUUAGCGGGUUGUCA
rnacentral:rRNA from 1 species